rnacentral:rRNA from 1 species
GACGAACGCUGGCGGCGUGCUUAACACAUGCAAGUCGAACGGAAAGGCCCUGCUUUUGUGGGGUGCUCGAGUGGCGAACGGGUGAGUAACACGUGAGUAACCUGCCCUUGACUUUGGGAUAACUUCAGGAAACUGGGGCUAAUACCGGAUAGGAGCUCCUGCUGCAUGGUGGGGGUUGGAAAGUUUCGGCGGUUGGGGAUGGACUCGCGGCUUAUCAGCUUGUUGGUGGGGUAGUGGCUUACCAAGGCUUUGACGGGUAGCUGGCCUGAGAGGGUGACCGGCCACAUUGGGACUGAGAUACGGCCCAGACUCUUACGGGAGGCAGCAGUGGGGAAUAUUGCACAAUGGGCGGAAGCCUGAUGCAGCAACGCCGCGUGCGGGAUGACGGCCUUCGGGUUGUAAACCGCUUUCGCCUGUGACGAAGCGUGAGUGACGGUAAUGGGUAAAGAAGCACCGGCUAACUACGUG